CAGCUCACAGGCAGUUCACUACGAGCCUUCUGGACACCAUCACCAUCAGACGUACUGUUUGGAUCUGAUCUGAAAGUCUAAAAUGUUCGGGAUGAACUCAGGAUACCAGUAUUCCCCUGGCUGUUAUCCUCAGCAAACGUCAGGAGGAUACCCUCAAAGUCAACCAAUGACUGCCCAACUCCAGCCCUGCCUUCCUCAACCCUGUGUUCAACCUGUGUGGUGUCCUCCACCCACAACUUGUGCAUGGUAUGGACCAGGGCCUGGUUGGGGGUUUGGAUUUAGCUUUGGUCCUGGGCAGGGAGAUGGCCGUGGAACCACGGAGGCCAAGGGCCAA